rnacentral:rRNA from 1 species
GACGAACGCUGGCGGCGUGCUUAACACAUGCAAGUCGAGCGGUAAGGCCCUUCGGGUACACGAGCGGCGAACGGGUGAGUAACACGUGGGUGACCUGCUUCUAGCUCUGGGAUAAGCCUGGGAAACUGGGUCUAAUACCGGAUAUGACUCCACGGCGCAUGUUGUGGGGUGGAAAGCCUUGUGUGGCUAGAGAUGGGCCCGCGGCCUGUCAGCUUGUUGGUGGGGUGAUGGCCUACCAAGGCGACGACGGGUAGCCGGCCUGAGAGGGCGACCGGCCACACUGGGACUGAGACACGGCCCAGACUCCUACGGGAGGCAGCAGUGGGGAAUCUUGCGCAAUGGGCGAAAGCCUGACGCAGCGACGCCGCGUGAGGGAUGACGGCCU